GCGCGGCGAAGGCUCUGGGACACCUUGCCAAGGUUGGGGUCGAGGGUUCGAAUCCCUUCGCCCGCUCCA
rnacentral:tRNA from 2 species